rnacentral:lncRNA from 1 species
UGGGUUUAGGGUUUGAAGUUUUUAAACCUUCUUUUGUUCUCUAUUUUUCUCCAUCACCUGCGCCUGCACGUCCUCUUUCUUCUCUUCUCGACAUUGACGAGCCUCUCUUUUGCUCGUCGACCAGCUUUCGUUUCCUCCCCUGACGAGCCGGACUGUCUCUCCUCCGUCUGUACCUCCUCUCUAUCUUCCCACUCUUUCCCCUGAUGCCGAUGCUGCCAUUUGUUUCUCUUCUAUCUGUGUCUCCCUUACUCACUUUGGCUGAACAGUCAAGGUAAAAGAUUAGUUUAAUAUUUGUGCUUUAGUUCUUUGGUUUUUUUGUCAAUUUUAUGAGUUUAUUUUAAAUUUAUGUUUAAUUUUUUACUUUUUAAUUUACUGAUUUUUCUCUUGUAAUUGGUUAGAUUAACUCUGUCUAAUUAUUUCAGUUUCUUUUUACUCGUGUUUUGAUGUAGAAGUAGGGAGGCCUAUCUUUAGAAGAAGGUUUCAGCUUUUGUACUACUAAAAGGGGCAGUCAACUAUUUCUAUCUAACUUUUUAAUGGUCUAGAUUAAUAAGGGGUUAGGAUGUUCUACAAGACAUCACUCCAUUUGGUAGAACAAGCGCAUUGUUACUCUAAUAUAUUAUUUACUUUGUAAUAAAUGCACAAUGUUUAAAAUAGGUUGACAAAUG